rnacentral:ncRNA from 1 species
GGUGUCGAUCCUUAUCAGAUCGACUUAAAAGGGAACGUGGUGCGUUUUGGGAAAGUCCCUUAAGCAAUGCCACGGCUGCCCCCGCAACUGUAAGCGGUCUUGAACGUUGCACAUGCCACUGGUGAUGACCGGGAAGGCGCAAUGUUCUUAAAACCGCGAGCCAGGAGACCUGCCUUGGACC